CGGCGGGGGCGAGCGGUCGCUCCGCGCGCCUUCGGGCGGCAGCGGGGAGGAAAGUCCGGACUCCGCAGGGCAGGAUGUCCUCGCGUUGUGCGGGGAAACCUCCUGGAAAACGGGAGGGAUGGAAAGUGCCACAGAAAAAACACCGCCGUUGGCGGCCGGCACUGUCGGAAGCCAAGGGUAAGGGUGAAAAGGUGGUGUAAGAGACCACCGCCCCGAGAGCAAUCGAGGGGGCAUGGCAAACCCCAUCCGGAGCAAGAUCAAAUAGGAGGCUGGAGGCGGCCCGCCUCAUUCUCCGGCUUGCCGGAGAGCGGUCUCGGGUUGAUCGCGUCAGAUAAAUGACCGAUAACCGCGCAAGCGGCGAAACAGAAUCCGGCUUAUGUCCCCCGCCGAUCG
rnacentral:RNase_P_RNA from 1 species